AACACAUGCAAGUCGAACGAGACGAUUUAGAAGCUUGCUUUUAUUGAGUCGAGUGGCAAACGGGUGAGUAACGCGUAGACAACCUGCCGCAAAGAUGGGGACAACAGUUGGAAACGACUGCUAAUACCGCAUAAUGUAUUCUGACCGCAUGAUCGGAAUACCAAAGAUUUAUUGCUGGAAGAUGGCCUCGCGUCUGAUUAGAUAGUUGGUGAGGUAACGGCUCACCAAGUCGACGAUCAGUAGCCGGACUGAGAGGUUGAACGGCCACAUUGGGACUGAGAUACGGCCCAGACUCCUACGGGAGGCAGCAGUGGGGAAUAUUGCACAAUGGAGGAAACUCUGAUGCAGCGACGCCGCGUGAGUGAAGAAGUAAUUCGUUAUGUAAAGCUCUAUCAGCAGGGAAGAUAGUGACGGUACCUGACUAAGAAGCUCCGGCUAAAUACGUG
rnacentral:rRNA from 1 species